rnacentral:rRNA from 1 species
UAGGGAAUCUUCCGCAAUGGACGAAAGUCUGACGGAGCAACGCCGCGUGAGUGAAGAAGGUUUUCGGAUCGUAAAACUCUGUUGUCAGAGAAGAACAAGUUGGAGAGUAACUGCUCCAGCCUUGACGGUAUCUGACCAGAAAGCCACGACUAACUACGUGCCAGCAGACGCGGUAAUACGUAGGUGGCAAGCGUUGUCCGGAUUUAUUGGGCGUAAAGCGAGCGCAGGCGGUUCCUUAAGUCUGACGUGAAAGCCCACGGCUCAACCGUGGAAGGUCAUUGGAAACUGGGGAACUUGAGUGCAGAAGAGGAGAGUGGAAUUCCAUGUGUAGCGGUGAAAUGCGUAGAUAUAUGGAGGAACACCAGUGGCGAAGGCGACUCUCUGGUCUGUAACUGACGCUGAGGCUCGAAAGCGUGGGGAGCAAACAG